CUAAGUCUGGGCGAGCAGCCGCGGUAAUACAGAGGGUGCGAGCGUUAAUCGGAAUUACUGGGCGUAAAGCGAGUGUAGGUGGGUCAUUAAGUCACAUGUGAAAUCCCCGGGCUUAACCUGGGAACGGCAUGGGAUACUGGUGGUGCUAGAAUAUGUGAGAGGGAAGUAGAAUUCCAGGUGUAGCGGUGAAAUGCGUAGAGAUCUGGAGGAAUACCGAUGGCGAAGGCAGCUUCCUGGCAUAAUAUUGACACUGAGAUUCGAAAGCGUGGGUAGCAAACAGGAUUAGAUACCCUAGUAGUC
rnacentral:rRNA from 1 species